rnacentral:rRNA from 1 species
GUGAACGCUGGCGGUAGGCCUAACUCAUGCCAGUCGAACGGCAGCACCGUAAGAGCUUGCUCUUACGGGUGGCGAGUGGCGGACGGGUGAGGAAUACAUCGGAAUCUACUUUUUCGUGGGGGAUAACGUAGGGAAACUUACGCUAAUACCGCAUACGACCUACGGGUGAAAGCAGGGGAUCUUCGGACCUUGCGCGAUUGAAUGAGCCGAUGUCGGAUUAGCUAGUUGGCGGGGUAAAGGCCCACCAAGGCGACGAUCCGUAGCUGGUCUGAGAGGAUGAUCAGCCACACUGGAACUGAGACACGGUCCAGACUCCUACGGGAGGCAGCAGUGGGGAAUAUUGGACAAUGGGCGCAAGCCUGAUCCAGCCAUACCGCGUGAGUGAAGAAGGCCUUCGGGUUGUAAAGCCCUUUUGUUGGGAAAGAAAAGCAGCAGGUUAAUACCCCGCUGUUCUGACGGUACCCAAAGAAUAAGCACCGGCUAACUUCGUG